rnacentral:rRNA from 1 species
CGGCGAACGGGUGAGUAACACGUGGGUAACCUGCCCCUUGCUCUGGGAUAACUCCGGGAAACCGGGGCUAAUACCGGAUAUGACACUCGCAGGCAUCUGCUGGGUGUGGAAAGUUUUUCGGCGAGGGAUGGGCCCGCGGCCUAUCAGCUUGUUGGUGGGGUGAUGGCCUACCAAGGCGGUGACGGGUAGCCGGCCUGAGAGGGCGACCGGCCACACUGGGACUGAGACACGGCCCAG